UUGACUGCGUGUCCGGCUCUCCAUAUUCAUAGCCGGGGACAGCUUUAACAAGGAGGAAUAUUCGCUUCCCCGGGACUCGGGGUGCGGCAGUGUGGAGACCUGUCGUAAUGCGGGAGGCCGGGGCCCCCGCGAGGGCGUUCAGGCGGAGGCCGGGCGCUCAGAGUCGGCAAGUAUGGCA
ncrna:unclassified sequences malK-I RNA